AGGUUUCUGUGUGCGCGCAGCUCAGCCUGGCGUUCGUAGCGUGAAGGAGCGCGAGGGUUCUGGUGGCGCCGUUUGUCCUCCCUCGGGGCGGCGCGAGCCGGUGCGGACCGGUGCGGACUGAGACAUGUAAACCACAUCUAUCUCGUGUCUUCUCUCGCAUCUCAGAGGAGCAGAACAAGGACUCCUCUUGUCUAGUGGUUGAGGAGUACCUGCUGUGCCAGGAGGGGAAAGGCUCUCUCCCCCUAGGACACUUCAUGCAUCAUUGCUUCACGAAAUGAAAGGCCUCAAGCAGCACCACUUUCUGAGGGGCUCUCACGACACCAGAGUGCUGUGUGAGAUUCCAACAGCAUGGUAGUGAGGAGGAAGACACUGCAAAAGACUUGGAGAGGUGGAGGACUUAAAACCCCAGCAGCACCUACUCCGAGCCUCAUCCUUGACUUGGAAAGUGAAAUUGAAGCUGAACCUCUCGAAGCUCACAGGAAGAAAUGCCUCCAGCUUUGCUGCUAGUUGGUUGCAGAGCAGCAUGGUCUGCAAAUACCCAAAUCCCACUCUAACUUCACAUGGAUAACUCACUUAUCUAUGAAACUGUAUUGGGAUAAACAAACAGGAGCUAAGCAGCUUUAUGUGUAAAGAAUAAACCCUCUCCACUGUACUGUUUACCUUAAAGGGGCAGGGAGACUGCUGGUGACUAUUUAAGGCAGAGUCUUGACACUUUAUAGGGCCCUGAAUGUAUUUUCUUUAAAUAAACAUUUCUGUCCUACUUAUUUCUUUCCCUGGGAACAUCAGGAGUAAUGUACCAUGGUCCUUGU